rnacentral:rRNA from 1 species
AUACGGAGGAUCCAAGCGUUAUCCGGAUUUAUUGGGCUUAAAGGGUGCGUAGGCGGACUGGUAAGUCAGCUGUGAAAGUUUGCGGCUUAACCGUAAAAUUGCAGUUGAUACUGUCAGUCUUGAGUGUGCAUGAGGUGGGCGGAAUUUGUGGUGUAGCGGUGAAAUGCUUAGAUAUCACGAGGAACUCCAAUUGCGAAGGCAGCUCACUGGGGCAUAACUGACGCUGAUGCACGAAGGUGUGGGUAUCAAACAGGAUUAGAUACCCUGGUAGUCCACACAGUAAACUAUGAAUACUCGCUGUUUGCGAUAUACAGUAAGCGGCCAAGCGAAAGCAUUAAGUAUUCCACCUGGGGAGUACGCCGGCAACGGUGAAACUCAAAUGAAUUGACGGGG